rnacentral:rRNA from 1 species
GGUGAGUAACACGUGGGCAACCUGCCCGCAAGACCGGGAUAACUCCGGGAAACCGGAGCUAAUACCGGAUAACACCGAAGAUCGCAUGGUCUUUGGUUGAAAGGCGGCUUUGGCUGUCACUUGCGGAUGGGCCCGCGGCGCAUUAGCUAGUUGGUGAGGUAACGGCUCACCAAGGCGACGAUGCGUAGCCGGCCUGAGAGGGUGAUCGGCCACACUGGGACUGAGACACGGCCCAGACUCCUACGGGAGGCAGCAGUAGGGAAUCUUCCGCAAUGGACGAAAGUCUGACGGAGCGACGCCGCGUGAGCGAAGAAGGCCUUCGGAUCGUAAAGCUCUGUUGUGAGGGAAGAACGAGCGCCGUUUGAAUAGGGCGGUGCGGUGACGGUACCUCACGAGAAAGCCCCGGCUAACUACGUGCCAGCAGCCGCGGUAAUACGUAGGGGGCGAGCGUUGUCCGGAAUUAUUGGGCGUAAAGCGCGCGCAGGCGGUCCUUUAAGUCUGAUGUGAAAGCCCACGGCUCAACCGUGGAGGGUCAUUUUCUAUAUGUGAUGAUGAUAAGAGCACGGCGUCUCCACGCGGAGGAGUCUCUUUAAAAAUGGGGGGGGACGUGAGUGCAGAAGAGGAGAGGAGUUUUACGUGUGUAGCGGAGAAAUGUAUAGAGAUGUGGAGGCACAACAGUGGCGGAGGCGUCUCUCGCGUGUGUAACUGACGGUGAGGCGAGAGAGUGGGGGGAGCACACAAUAUUAUAUCCCGUUGUAGUCCACGCUAUAAGCGAUGAGUUAUAAGUGUGAGAGGUCACACCCCUUUGAGUGGUGUAGAUAACGCUAUACGCUCUCCGCGGGGGGAGUGCCCUCACAAGAGAGAAACUCAAAAGAAUUGGGGGGGGCCCGCACAAGCGGGGGCGCAUGUUGUAUUUUUAGAAGCCGCGAGAAGCCCCUUCACUGUCUUGACCUCCCCUCACCCCAAGAGAGAUGGGGUUUUCCCUUUGGGGGGACAGGGUGACAGGUGGUGCAUGGUUGUCGUCAGCUCGUGUCGUGAGAUGUUGGGUUAAGUCCCGCAACGAGCGCAACCCUUGCCUUUAGUUGCCAGCAUUCAGUUGGGCACUCUAAGGGGACUGCCGAUUACAAGUCGGAGGAAGGUGGGGAUGACGUCAAAUCAUCAUGCCCCUUAUGACCUGGGCUACACACGUGCUACAAUGGGCGGUACAAAGGGCUGCGAACCCGCGAGGGGGAGCGAAUCCCAAAAAGCCGCUCUCAGUUCGGAUUGCAGGCUGCAACUCGCCUGCAUGAAGCCGGAAUCGCUAGUAAUCGCGGAUCAGCAUGCCGCGGUGAAUACGUUCCCGGGCCUUGUACACACCGCCCGUCACACCACGAGAGCUUGCAACAUCUACGAAGCCGUAUAGUUU